UGGAUUGUGCAACUGCUAAACUACUUGGGGGAUGGUUUGGCUUGGGAGCCGAAGAAGGACGUGCCAAGCUGCGAAAAGCCUCGGGGAGGCGCAUGGAGCCAUAGAUCCGAGGGUCUCCGAAUGGGACUUCCUGCCUCCGGGCACUCCGAAAGGAGAGGGAACCCAGGGAAUUGAAACAUCUUAGUACCUGGAGGAAAAGAAAUCAAUUGAGAUGCCGUUAGUAAAGGCGAUCGAAAGCGGCAUAAGGCAAACCGAAUGUUUCACAGAAAUGUGAAAUAGAUGUGGAGUUCGGGCCCUUCCUAACACCUACUCCGCGAAUCUGAAUCUGCUCGAAAGCAGAGCCAGAGAGGGUGAUAGCCCCGUAAGAGCAAGCGGAAAGGUCAAAAGGAAGGAGUCCCAGAGUACCGUGCGUCGUUUUUCGCGCGGGAAUACGGGUGGCACUAACAUCUAACCUUAAAUACAUCCCAAGUCCGAUAGCGAACAAGUACCGUGAGGGAAAACUGAAAAGCAACCCGAAAGGGUAGUGAAAAGAGCCUGAAACCAAGUAGUGAUAAACUUGCAAGGCACUUAAAGGGUGAUACCAUUAACAAUGGUGGACUGGUGUUUUGCUGUCCGUGUUGAAGAACGGGCCAGGGAGUUUCGACGGAUGGCGAGGUUAACCCUGAAAGGGGUAGCCGUAGCGAAAGCGAAUACCCGCACAGCAAUGGAGGGGUAGCGUGGUUAACGCGUUAGUCAUUCGUGGAAGACCCGAAGCCGGUCGAUCUACGCCUGAGCAGGUUGAAGCCCUACGAAAGUAGGGUGGAGGACCGAACCAGUUCUGAUGUGCAAAUCGUUUGGAUGACUUGGGUGUAGGGGUUAAAGGCUAAUCUAGGCCGGCAAUAGCGGGUUCCCCCCGAUACUACCCGCAGGUAGACCUCGGCAGAGAUGCCCAGCGAGGUAGAGCUACCGACUAGCAGGUUAGUAACCGAAAGGUUGCGCCAGCUUAUCAAACUCCGAACUUGUUGGGAUCGUAGAAGCCGGGUGCUAGGGCACAGGGAUAAGCUCUGUGCCCGUGAAGGGAACAUCCUAGACGAGGGUUAAGGCCCCUAAAUUCUGACUAAGUGCAAAUUAAAGGGGUUUGUGGCCAAAGACAGUGUGGAGGUUGGCUUAGAAGCAGCCAUCCUUUAAAGAGUGCGUAACAGCUCACUCACCGAGGCUACAUGUCCCGAAGAUGGAAGGGGCUAAAGUCAGAUGCCGAGACCUUCGAGCACCGAAAGGUGAUCUGGUAGGGGGGCGUGCCGUAUGGACGGAAGCUUCUCCGAGAGGAGGGGUGGACCGUAUGGUAUCGUGGAUCCUGGUGAAAGUAGCAGUCAAGAAUUGUGAGAAUCAAUUCCGCCGAAAGGGCUAAGGGUUCCUUGGCAAUGUUCGUCAGCCGAGGGUUAGUCGAUCCCAGCUAUAUUGCCUCGAGAUAUUGGGGGUACGCAUGCCUACGUAUUCUGCGAUAUAAGCCGAUGGAGAGUUGUAAUGACGAGAAGUCGGAGAAGGUCGCCGAGUCCCCGUUUGGGGUUCCUCGAAAUUCUUGGGGCCUGUGAAAGUAUGGCUGGGGUCAAGCUGAAGCUCGUACCAAGAACCGACACAGGUGCCCCUGGAUGAAAAGUCCAAGGCGUUUGGGCAUAAUGGCCGCGAGGGAAUUCGGCCAAAUAGCUCCGUAUCUUAGGUAGAAGGAGUGCCUAUUCCGAGAGGGAAUAGGUCGCAGUGGCAAGGGGACCCCGACUGUUUACCAAAAACACAGAUCGCCGCUAGUUCGAAAGGAUGUGUAUGGCGGUUGAAACCUGCCCAGUGUCGGUACCUGAAAGUCCCGUACAAGGGAAAGAAGGGCCGAUAAACGGCGGGGGUAACUAUGACCCUCUUAAGGUAGCGUAAUACCUAGCCGCUUAAUUGGCGGCUUGCAUGAAGGUUCAACGUGAGUCCCACUGUCCCCGCGGUCAGCCCCGUGAAAUUGAUGCACUGGUGCACAAUCCAGUCUCUCCCAAGUGAAAGCGAAGUCCCCGUGGAGCUUUACUGCAGCCUGUAGCUGUAAUACGGUUCUUAAUGCGUAGAGUAGGAAGGAGCUGUCGAGGCCUGGGUUCUGGCUCAGGUGGAGGCGACGAUGAAACACUUCCCUUUAAGGACUGAAUUACUAACCUCGCAAGAGGGACACCUAUUGGUGGGCAGUUUGGGUGGGGCGCCACGCCCCUGAGAAUCAAACAGGGGCCCCCAAAGGUCUGCUCAGGAGGGUCAGCAAUCCUCCGUGGAGUGUAAAGGCAAAAGCAGGCUUGACUGUGUUCCGGGCAAUAAGGAACGCAGAUGCGAAAGCAGGGCUUAACGAACCACCCUGUACCUCCUUAGUGGGGGCGGGUGAUAAGAGAGAAGUUACCCCAGGGAUAACUGAGUUGUCCUCGGCAAGAGUUCAUAUCGACCCGAGGGUUUGCUACUUCGAUGUCGUCUGUUCCUAUCCUGGUGCUGAACAAGGUGCCAAGGGUGGGGCUGUUCGCCCAUUAAAAGGAAUCCUGAGAUGGGUUCACUACGUCGCGAGACAGUAGGGUUGCUUCUCCUUGGGAGUGCUCGAUGUCUGAAGGGAAGGAGCCUUUAGUACGAGAGGAACGGGGGUUCGUGACCUCUAGUUUACCGGUUGUCUGGCAAGGCAGAUGCCGGGUAGCCACGUCAUACGCGAAUAAAAGCUGAAAGCAUCUAAGCUUGAAGUCGCCCCUGAAAAUAGACAUCGUUAUUAGGCCUCUCCUAAAAGAGGAGGUUGAUAGAACUGGGAUGUAAGUGCCAAGCUUCGGCGAGGCAUUAAGUCCACAGUUACUAAACGGCCGAAGGCACAAUCCA
rnacentral:rRNA from 1 species